GCCGAGCACUCCUACGGGAGGCAGCAGUGGGGAAUAUUGCACAAUGGGCGCAAGCCUGAUGCAGCCAUGCCGCGUGUAUGAAGAAGGCCUUCGGGUUGUAAAGUACUUUCAGCAGUGAGGAAGGUGGAUAUGUUAAUAGCAUAUUCAUUUGACGUUAGCUGCAGAAGAAGCACCGGCUAACUCCGUGCCAGCAGCCGCGGUAAUACGGAGGGUGCGAGCGUUAAUCGGAAUUACUGGGCGUAAAGCGCAUGCAGGUGGUUUGUUAAGUCAGAUGUGAAAGCCCGGGGCUCAACCUCGGAAUUGCAUUUGAAACUGGCAAACUAGAGUACUGUAGAGGGGGUAGAAUUUCAGGUGUAGCGGUGAAAUGCGUAGAGAUCUGAAGGAAUACCGGUGGCGAAGGCGGCCCCCUGGACAGAUACUGACACUCAGAUGCGAAAGCGUGGGGAGCAAACAGGAUUAGAUACCCUGGUAG
rnacentral:rRNA from 1 species